rnacentral:rRNA from 1 species
GAAUAAGCACCGGCUAACUACGUGCCAGCAGCCGCGGUAAUACGUAGGGUGCAAGCGUUAUCCGGAAUUAUUGGGCGUAAAGGGCUCGUAGGCGGUUCGUCGCGUCCGGUGUGAAAGUCCAUCGCUUAACGGUGGAUCCGCGCCGGGUACGGGCGGGCUUGAGUGCGGUAGGGGAGACUGGAAUUCCCGGUGUAACGGUGGAAUGUGUAGAUAUCGGGAAGAACACCAAUGGCGAAGGCAGGUCUCUGGGCCGUCACUGACGCUGAGGAGCGAAAGCGUGGGGAGCGAACAGGAUUAGAUACCCUGGUAGUCCACGCCGUAAACGGUGGAUGCUGGAUGUGGGGACCAUUCCACGGUCUCCGUGUCGGAGCCAACGCGUUAAGCAUCCCGCCUGGGGAGUACGGCCGCAAGGCUAAAACUCAAAGAAAUUGACGGGGGCCCGCACAAGCGGCGGAGCAUGCGGAUUAAUUCGAUGCAACGCGAAGAACCUUACCUGGGCUUGACAUGUUCCCGACAGCCCCAGAGAUGGGGUCUCCCUUCGGGGCGGGUUCACAGGUGGUGCAUGGUCGUCGUCAGCUCGUGUCGUGAGAUGUUGGGUUAAGUCCCGCAACGAGCGCAACCCUCGCCCUGUGUUGCCAGCACGUCGUGGUGGGAACUCACGGGGGACCGCCGGGGUCAACUCGGAGGAAGGUGGGGAUGACGUCAGAUCAUCAUGCCCCUUACGUCCAGGGCUUCACGCAUGCUACAAUGGCCGGUACAACGGGAUGCGACACCGCGAGGUGGAGCGGAUCCCUUAAAACCGGUCUCAGUUCGGAUUGGAGUCUGCAACCCGACUCCAUGAAGGCGGAGUCGCUAGUAAUCGCGGAUCAGCAACGCCGCGGUGAAUGCGUUCCCGGGCCUUGUACACACCGCCCGUCAAGUCAUGAAAGUGGGUAGCACCCGAAGCCGGUGGCCCAACCUUUUGGGGGGAGCCGUCUAAGGUGAGACUCGUGAUUGGGACUAAGUCGUAACAAGGUAGCCGUACCGGAAGGUGCGGCUG